rnacentral:rRNA from 1 species
UCCCUUCGCGGAGUGGUAAAGUGGCGUACGGGUGAGUAACACGUAAGUAAUCUACCUUCGAGUGGGGAAUAACA